GCCGCUGUAUAAAACCCCUGACAUCUUAAUUUUCCAUCAUUUCGCAAAGCAUCCUUGCCAAGUCACAAGUAAUUGUUGUUGUUGUCUUCAUCCUUGCUAUUACUUUGGUGAAGAAGAAGAAGAAGAAGAAGAAGAAGAACAACAACAACAACAACAACAACAACAACAACAAGAAGAUCAUGAACAUGUGGUCUAUUUUGAAAGAUCAUGGUGAGGACGGCCAUUGUACAAUGGGUGCGCUGAUGCGUUGUGCUGCGCGGUUAGGAAUCGCAACCUCGCUGACAAACCUGGUGGAACCUUUCAAUGGAGACCAUGGAUAUGAUCAAGCAGUUGUUGAAAGUCACCCCAUAACCAACUUGAUCUGGAUUGCUGCCAAGGACAUGGCUUGCUGCGGGCGGAAAGAACUACUUGAUGUAGUGAAGCUGCUGUUUCCAGUUGAUCCAACCCCUGAUGGAAGUACGCCUAGUACUGCUACUGGCAAGUCGGACAUUGCUCAACGCCACCUCAUGAAGAACCUAUCCUGCGUGUUCAAGAAGGUGAAGAGCACCCCUUCCAGUAACAACAUUAGUAUGAUCAUCGUGUUGGUUGCACUGCUCAUUCUCUUGUGUGAAGAAGUGUCGCUGAGAGGAUACGAUCAUGAGCUGCACUGCACUCUAGUUGAGUUCUUCGAUCAAGAACUGCAUGCUAUUGACGUGGUGCACUACAAGCGUUGUCAGCAAACUCAGUCAACAUUCACGAAUUGUGGAAUUCCACAAAUGCUCACAUUGAUUACUAUUAUGUCUAUCCUUGCCUCCCUCACUUUGAGCUAUAUUAUUUGACAUGUAGACACACACACACACACACACACACACACACACACACACACACACACACACACACACACACACACACACUCAAAUCAUCAUCAUCAUCAUAAUACAUGACGUUAUUCAUUAAAAAUGUUUUAUUAUAAUUUAUCAAUACACUUGGUAAAGAAAACGGAAUGAAUCAUAAAUGUUGUAGUUUCUGUACACGCCUGUGAUGGUAUUGUCCAUUCUCAGUACGGCUUGAUUGGCAUGGAGUGGGUUGGAAGUGAAUGACAGCGUGCACUUGUUCUUCCUGGGUGUUUGACAGUGUGACAUCCAGUAGCGUAUCUCCUUUGUCCCGCGCUCUGCAGCAUCUGCAGGGUAUCCAACUAGAAUGUAUAACCCAAGUGGCACAUGGUACCGGCAUCCACAUUUUUCCAAAUGGGAAUUCAGUGAGCACCAGUUCUGUGUUUGCUUGAGUCUCCGGGAGUGUUCCGCUAACAGUGUGUUCUUCUAAAGCGAAAGUUUGUCGUAUCAGUGUUCUUCUUAACGAGGUUUCACUGUACAUAGAUGCAAAAAGACACACAUAGGUGGUCUUUAUAUUACAUUGUCUAUUCCUUGAUACAUUGACACGUCUGUGUAUUGCUCCCCGUUCUGAUAGGUGUAUGUUUUUGUUGUAAUCGCCGUCACGUGAACGGUGUUGUCAGCCCUCACCUCUCUUCUUUUUACCAUACAUUCCUUGUAGACUUGUAGGGUUUCAUUCUGUUGAUGUUGUUGUUGUCCGUCUUGUUGUCGUGGAGGUGGUGGAGGUGGGCUAAUUAAGUGGCCACUUGAAAUGUGAAGUGGUGUUUGAAGUGCCUAUCGGCGACAUAAGCAUUUCUUUUAAAGUGGUGGGUGUGGUGUUAGUAAGAUUGACUGUCUGGGAUGGUUUUUUUGAAAUUGAAUUAUGAUAUUCUGGAAUAUUCUAGGUAUUGCCAGACUACCCUUCAACCAACGAGCAUCAAACAACUGGAUGGGGAUAAAAGUGAUUGGAGCCGCCUUGAUGAGUCCCAUUCAACUCCUGCCUGAAGAUCGUCUUCUUCUUCUUCUUCAAAACAAAGAUGCAAUUCAGCUGUGACUUAUGUCUUAAGACUACGACCGGCCUCCAGCCGUUCGUUGACCACGUCAAAUCAAAAGGACAUCGGAAGAACCUGGAGGCUGGUCGUCAGCCGGUUUAUAAAUGUAGCUGCGAUGACGAGUGGAUUGAUCUUGGGGCAAUGAAGGAUCACGUUACAACGUCCCGACACAUCAACAACUACCUUCAGAGGCUUAUCAACUUCUACGGGGUGUUGCCCAUUAACAGCGUGACGAAGAUGGCGCAAGCCCAGGCGGAGCUCCUGUGUUUAUAAUAAAAAGUUUAAAACCAA